rnacentral:rRNA from 1 species
UACGAAGGGGGCGAGCGUUGUUCGGAUUUACUGGGCGUAAAGGGCGCGCAGGCGGCCAUUCAAGUCAGGCGUGAAAGCCCCGGGCUUAACCUGGGAGGUGCGUCUGGGACUGGGUGGCUGGAGAUCGGGAGAGGAGAGUGGAAUUCCCAGUGUAGAGGUGAAAUUCGUAGAUAUCGGGAGGAACAUCAGUGGCGAAGGCGGCGACCUGGACGGACACUGACGCUGAGACGCGAAAGCGUGGGGAGCAAACAGG